rnacentral:rRNA from 1 species
UGACAGGUGCUGCAUGGCUGUCGUCAGCUCGUGUCGUGAGAUGUUGGGUUAAGUCCCGCAACGAGCGCAACCCUUGUCUUUAGUUGCCAUCAUUAAGUUGGGCACUCUAAAGAGACUGCCGGUGUCAAACCGGAGGAAGGUGGGGAUGACGUCAAGUCCUCAUGGCCUUAUGACCAGGGCUACACACGUACUACAAUGGCAGGUACAAAGGGCAGCCACUUAGCGAUAAGGCGCGAAUCCCAUAAAACCUGUCUCAGUCCGGAUUGGAGUCUGCAACUCGACUCCAUGAAGUUGGAAUCGCUAGUAAUCGCAGAUCAGCACGCUGCGGUGAAUACGUUCCCGGGCCUU